rnacentral:rRNA from 1 species
UACGUAGGGGGCAAGCGUUGUCCGGAUUUAUUGGGCGUAAAGAGCGUGUAGGCGGUUUGGUAGGUCCGUUGUGAAAACUCGAGGCUCAACCUCGAGACGCCGGCGGAAACCAUCAGGCUAGAGUCCGGAAGAGGAGAGUGGAAUUCCUGGUGUAGCGGUGAAAUGCGCAGAUAUCAGGAAGAACACCCGUGGCGAAGGCGGCUCUCUGGGACGGUACUGACGCUGAGACGCGAAAGCGUGGGAGCGAACAGG